UCGCGGUACCUUGAGGAAGGCUUUGGCGGCCUGCCGGCAUUGCUCGUAGUACUCGAUGUAGGUGAACAGGCGCCAGGUGUUGUUGUGCUUGGAGCCGAGCGCGAUGUAGUUGGUGUACCUGGUGGCCGCGCCCAUGACCAUGUCGUGCACGGGCUGGUCCAGUGACUUAUUUUGACCACCAGAAUGGAGCAGAAGUGACAUUGUGUAAAUUCCAGGACUGAGCCUUAAUAGACCAGUAGCCUCGGCCUUAGACUCAGGAGGCACUUGUUCUGGGAGGAGCCAGCUGCCGUGCUAAGAAGUUCAACGACCAUGCUGUGAGGAAGCCCAAGCCACCCAGAGCAGCUUCACGGAGGAGCACCGAGGAACCAGACACAUGAGUAAAGCCUUCUUAAACUCUCCAGCCCUGCCCAGGCACCAACUGAAUGCAGGAAAACUGGCUACUAUACUGUGAGGACACUCAAGCCACCCUAUAGAGAAAGCCAUGGAAUGAGGAACUGAGGCCCCUGCCAACAGCCAGCCUUGUAAGUGAACCCUCAAGCCCCAGUCGAGCCUUCAGAUGAGGCAGCUCCAGCUGACACCUUGACUGCAACCUCAUGAGAGACAGAACCACCCAACUUCCAAGCGGCUUUUAAAUUCUUGAUCCACCGAAAUUGUUAGACACUCAACUCUGUGACACAUCAUCCCAGGAAAUGGAUGCAGUGAGCAAAGUGAGAUUUUGAAAAUUAUUGCUAUUGGAGGGUAACCGUAGACGUUACCAUGCUUGCCAGCAUUUUCUCUACUUCAAGAAGGGAAGCUGUGGAACAGGAUGAAGGUCGAUGAUCUCACGACGCCUCCUGAGUUUAGUUCUGGCAGUAAAAUGGUUACAACGUAAUAACAGAUCGUCAUGAUCAUGUCCAGGCUGUGUCUGCAUGGAAGGUUCCUGGUGCUUUGUGCACACGGGCUCACCAUUCCAACAGGGAGGUGCUAUUAUCAACGCCCCCACGCUACAGAUACGCAAAUAAGGCUGCCAGUGAUCAAGGGACUUGCCGUAUGUGACAUGACCAGUAGAGCUCAGCUCUGAAUUAAGUGACUCAAAUCCACACUGUCAACGUCUUGCCUGUGCUGCCUCCAUACCCACCAGGAGUUGAAAACGGGCCCCAACAUGGUCAGGCACCCUUGGCCAAGGCCAGAGGCUCGAGCAAAGAAUGGCUGGGUCCUUUGUAGAGGUCCAGACUCCUCUACAAAGAGCCUUUGCGGAAUCAACGUGCCUGUCUCUCCCAUGCCCUCUCUAGUGCAACAUACCUUGUACUUUACUCAUGUCUGCUGCAAAGUCUUCAACUUCUUCUUGAAUCGUUGGGGUUUCAGCCCUUCCAGGUCUGCAGAGACCAUUCUUCACAGUUCUGCAAGGCAAAAAGUGAAGAGGUUAGCAGGACCGGCAGAGACGCUAUAGGUCCGAGGCCAACUCCUCCAUCCAUUGGUCUUGUCUGCCUAGAAUCCUGGGAUUGAUUGGUCAUGCCUGUCCUGGGCCUAGGAGGAGAGGAGAAUGGUCUGUAUGUCAGAUAAUAGAGCAUUUGUAAAGUCCAGAGGGUAGACAAUCUUCAAGUUUCCAGAAGGGCCUCUUAAACAGUUAGAAUAUAAAGGCCAGGUCUAUAUGUAAUCCUGUGGGUAAGAAAACAUUCUGAAAUCUAAGGUAAGAAACUCUCACAGGCUCACAUAUUUAUAUGCUCUAGUCAGCUUGCCUUAAAGAUAGUAUAACAUAAAAGCCCAAAGAGCAUAAAGGAAAAGCAGGGUAAAUCUUUCUACAUACAAAUUUUUAAUUUUCCACAUCGCAUUGCAAAGAAUAUUGUAAACAAAAUCAAAAGAUCAGCAACAUAUUGGGAGAAAAUAUGGGCAACACAUCUAAUAGAUAAAGGCUUGAUUUCCUUCAUAUGUAAAGAACUCCGAUGAAUCAAUAAUAAAAAGACCAAAAACCCAGUGGGAAAGUGGGCAAAGGACACAAAUAGAUAAUUCUCUGAAAAUAAAAUUAAAAACUACAUGUGAAAAUAGGCAAAUGUGCUCAAUCUCAGUUAUAAGAGAAAUAGAUUAGAAAAUAUUAUGAUGUUAUUUUCAUCUAAAAUCAAAAAGGAAGAGAACCCUAACCAGGAACCAACCCUGAGGGCACCCUUAUCUUGGACUUCUGGCCUCUAGAACUGUGAGCAAAUAAAUUUCUGUCAAGCUGCCCACUAUGUGGUAUUUUAUGGUAGUUCUAGCAAACUAAUACAAUUCUGUAAAUAUUUAUAAGAAUGUCACUUAAUGAACUUAUGAAUCUAAUAAAUCAAAAUUU